rnacentral:rRNA from 1 species
ACGGAAGGCAGCAGUGGGGAAUAUUGCACAAUGGGGGAAACCCUGAUGCAGCGACGCCGCGUGAGCGAAGAAGUAUUUCGGUAUGUAAAGCUCUAUCAGCAGGGAAGAAAAUGACGGUACCUGACUAAGAAGCUCCGGCUAAAUACGUGCCAGCAGCCGCGGUAAUACGGAGGAUGCGAGCGUUAUCCGGAUUUAUUGGGUUUAAAGGGUGCGUAGGCGGCUUGCCAAGUCAGCGGUGAAAUCCGGGCGCCCAACGCCGGAACUGCCGUUGAAACUGGCGGGCUUGAAUGGUGCCGCCGCAUGCGGAAUGUGUGAAGUAGCGGUGAAAUGCAUAGAUAUCACACAGAACGCCGAUUGUGGAAACAGCAUGCGAGACACUGAUUGACGCUGAGGCACGGAGGUGCGGGGAUCGAACAGGAUUAGAUACCCUGGUA